UCUGACCAGGAGGCAGAAGAAGAGUAUUUAAAGUCCCCGCGUCUUUUAUCUGCACGCAGUAACUUCCUCCUUGCGACUUCAACAUGAUCUUUACUAUCCUUGCACUGGUGGUGGCGGUCGCGGCGGCAGUGCCCCAGCAGGACCGUCCUAUAGCUAUCCUGAGAGACGACCGCAUUGCUCCCGAGGGCGGGUCCUACUCCUUCCAGUACGAGACCGAGAACGGCAUCCGCCACACGGAGGACGGCAGCCCCGGCGAGAAGGGCCAGACCAACUCUCAAGGAGUUUA